rnacentral:misc_RNA from 1 species
AUGGGACGGCCCGCUGGGCUGUUCCCGCCCCUAUGCCCUUUUUUGGGUUUCCGGCCAGAGGCAUGCUGGGAGCGUCACAUGCAAAUUGAGCGUGCACCCAGCGUUCCGCCCUUUCUACGCUGGGCCGGUUAUCGACCCGGCCCAGUGCGCAGGCGCGGGAAAGUUGAACUAAUAAAGUUUGUACGAGUUCAGUGGAGGAGACCGCAAGUUGAGUGGAGGAGGCGGCGGUGGGGCCCCGGACCAGGUGCCUCCAUGGCAGGCUCUGAAGAGCUGGGGCUCCGGGAAGACACGCUGAGGGUCCUAGCUGCCUUCCUUAGGCGUGGUGAGGCUGCCGGGUCUCCUGUUCCAACUCCACCUAGCCCUGCCCAAGAAGAGCCAACAGACUUCCUGAGCCGCCUUCGAAGAUGUCUUCCCUGCUCCCUGGGGCGAGGAGCAGCCCCCUCUGAGUCCCCUCGGCCUUGCUCUCUGCCCAUCCGCCCCUGCUAUGGUUUAGAGCCUGGUAAGAGAUUUCCAUGAUCAUCUAUGAAGCCGGCAGAACACGGGAUAAGGCCCAGCUACUCCAGACUUCUAUGCUUUGGUGGCCCAGCGGCUGGAACAGCUGGUCCAAGAGCAGCUGAAAUCUCCGCCCAGCCCAGAAUUACAGGGUCCCCCAUCGACAGAGAAGGAAGCCAUACUGCGGAGGCUGGUGGCCCUGCUGGAGGAGGAGGCAGAAGUCAUUAACCAGAAGGUGAUGGGCAUCUGUCCCACUCCUUGGCAAGGACAGGAGUUGCGGAAUGGAGGGCAUCCUGGCUGUUUCACCCGUGGACUUGAACUUGCCAUUGGACUGAGCUCUUUCUCAGAAGCUGCUACAAGAUGACACCUCAUGUCCCUGCCCUCUUCGUGUGCUUUUCCAAGUCUUCCUAUUCCACUCAGGGCUGUGGGGUGGUGGUUGCCCUACCUGUUUUUGCCAAAAAUAAAUUGUUUAAAACUUUUCUUAUUAAAAACGUUACAAAGUA